GGCUAGAAAGGUGAUCAGAUUGUGUCAUCUGUCGCCACACUGAUUUCCACAGUUCAUUCUGUCAAUCUUACAGGCUAAGCAGAUGUGCCUUUUCUCCCUCUCUCCAGCCUAUGGGCAGCCCUUGAGAAGCCCAUUCUUUGAUUGUAGAUAUUCAUAGAAGGCAUUCAAGUUUCCUGAUUUAAUUAAUCAUAGUGCAAUAAUCACUUAGGGCAGUUUUAUUCAAAGUUUGGUCCCCAAAAU
rnacentral:sRNA from 1 species